AAUGUUCCACCUGGUACUGUCAUAGACAAUAAAGUCUGUCAUCCAAGGAACAAUGAUUUCUAUCUCUGUGCACAUGCUGGAAUGAUUGGAACUACAAGGCCCACGCACUACCAUGUUCUAUUAGAUGAGGUUGGCUUUUCAGUGGAUGAUCUUCAGGACCUAGUGCAUUCUUUGUCAUACGUGUAUCAAAGAAGUACAACAGCCAUAUCUGUAGUUGCGCCAAUAUGCUAUGCUCACCUGGCUGCCACCCAGUUGGGAACAUUCAUGAAGUUUGAAGACACUUCUGAGACGUCCUCAAGCCAUGGUGGUGUAACCUCUGCUGGAGCUGUUCCUGUCCCUCAGUUGCCAAAAUUGGACGAUAAAGUAUGCGAUUCUAUGUUCUUUUGUUGAGGCUUUUGAGCCAGUAUCUGGC
rnacentral:misc_RNA from 1 species